CCCUCUAGCUCAGUUGGUAGAGCAUGGUGUUUGCCACCCUUUAGGGUUGUGGGUUCGAUUCCCACGGGGG
rnacentral:tRNA from 1 species